CAGCUUUCAGUGUGAAGGGGGUACACUGUGUCGUCGGAAAGAACUGAUUCUGAGGAAGGGGCUGAGGGAGGGAGUGAUCCACAAUGAGUCCUGGGGCAUCCCUAUUGUUUGCAUUUUGCUGAGUCUAAUGGCCUGAGACUUGACGAUCUAAAUCAAUCAGUCAUUAUUUGUCCUGUAGAAAGUGCUGUGUUGAUUUCAACAGCGAAUUGCAUUGAUAUCAUUUUAAUCAUCGUGUUUGGAGAAGCUCAAAUCCUUUUCUGGGUUUGACUGUUAAAGGUUGGACAAGCAUCAGAAAUGUAUCCUGCAUUGUCAACUUCAUUACCUGUUGCACAGAUGUUCCCAAGUGUUCAACAAGAGACAUCUACCGAAGAGACUCUCCAUAGAUUAUCUUUGAUGACCAGUGAGAACUCUAAUUCACCUUGGCACCUAAAUUCGCUGACUGGCUCCCCCUGUAUGUGCCGUCGGAGUCCUCGCUUGCUAACAAAUGGCUAUUAUGAUCUCAGUGAAGAGAGCUUCAUGGAUGAGGAGGGCAAUCUCACUCUCACGCCAUCUAAAAUAAACAUCAGUUACAAGGAGAAUCUUGUACGAAUUUUCCGCCGGAAGAAGAAGGUUCGUCGAUCCUUUGCAAGUCUUUUUUCAAUUGACUCCUCCAGUUCCUGGUUGAAUAGCAGUCUUUUCAGUGGAACUGAAUGUCCUCUUGCAGAAUCCUCUUGGAUUGAUGGAGGAAGUGAUUUUGACUCCAGUUUUAGUAACAAUCAAGGAGGAAACAGUGCUGACUCGACCUCCACUGGUCGAUCCUGGUUGUCAGAAGAGAAUCUGCCCCUCAUUGAUACUGACGCCUGCACCAAAGAAAGUUUAUUGAUAAACAAAUCAACAGGAGGCUUUUUUGAACUUCCUUUUCAUUCAUCAUUGCAUCCUACAAAGUGCUCCCUCAGUAACAUGACAAGAGGUCCAGAUUUUAUGACUGUCAAGAAUUUCUUUUUUCAUCUGAUCAUUUUGGUCCUCUCAAUAUGUGUCGCCGUGUUUGCAAGGUGGUUCCUUGGAGGAGUGGUUGCUGCCUUACUUGUGACUUUGCUGGUGUUUGCAGCUGUGCUACACACAGCAAAAUCUGCAUAUCCCUGCUUUAUUAAAUCUCACAAUAUCUUGGACCAUGUACAGUCUGAGGAAAUCACAACAAAACAAGACUGAGAUCUUGCUGCAUGAGAGCUACUAAAUACAAGAUCCAGAUUUGGGCUGAAAAGUGAAUUUGAAGAACAAUUAUAUGUGAACUGCUUCAUAGCAGCACUAGGGAUGAAGUUGGAAAAGCCUUGACAAUUUUGACAAGUGGGAAGCACAUCACGUUGAACUGACGGGAGACGCAAUGAUCCUUUCUCUCUUGAUCUUAAGCACGGUUCUUCGCUUCACAAUUCUAGAGAAAACCAAGCAGUUAAAUCAUUUCAGAAAUCAAGAUGCUCUUUUAAAGGAGAAUGAAAAUGUCAAACGGACUUGAAUAUAAGAAACUAUUCUCUCUUGCCCUUACACAUCUAGCUUCAAAUGAUCUUUAAAUCUCACCUUGCUUCAUUUCCACGCUGAGCCAUUUCAAUGGUCUCCACGGAGGAAUGGCUGAUGAAAGACUCUUAAAAUGUGGCAGAGACUUAUCCUUGGCUAAUCCUAGGUGUCCUUGUGUCCAUUAUCUUUUGACCUCUUUGAAAUCCAGGUAUGUGUUCAGUUGGUGGAGGCCACAAAUAAUCUAAGCAGCAUCACAAUUCAUGUACAUUCAGCCAUUCUGUCUAUGAGAUAGUAACUGUUGUGCAGCAAGAGCAUUCCUAAAAUGAUGCCAUACUAGCUCACUAUGCCUCACUUAUGAAAAGAGAGAAAGACAAUUAAAGAUGCUGGCAGCUGCUACUAUUAUAGAUGAUGUGGAUAUCAGAUUUAAGAGAACUUCAUCUCCUUAAAUCAUUGGGCUGGGCUGCAGAUCCAGCUUUAGCAUUUUGUUUGAUAUCAUUCAUUCUGCUUUCCUGCUGAUCAGUGCCCACAUAGAACCAACAUCCAGCACCAGUCACUAAGCAUAUGUGCCUACCCAUGAUGAUGUUGCCACUUAUCAAACUCAUGAUGCAAACAGUCCAAGGGCAUUUGUUUGGGUUCCAGCCCUUAGAGGGUUAUGCCAGGUGAGUUUCAGUCCAUGCCCUUUCAAAGUGGGGUCUUUAGACCGCUGUCCCAAACUUUAUUGCACCAGCUUAGGGAGCUUUGGACAGUGCAGUUGCUCAAGAUUAAACUCAACAAAAGUCACUGCAUCUCUUGCCAAAGACACAUUCCAGAAGGAAGUGCACGACAGUUUCUUCCCAAUCACAGCCGUCUCAAGAACACUGCAUUCAGAGUUCUCACAUCUCCAGCUAACCUCCUUAAAGCAUUCACCACUGUACCUCCCAACAGAGCUGGGGAGUAAAAGGGCUUUGGCAGCAUCCAACAUUGCUAAUGGACCCCAAUGAUAUGUUUGCUUUAGGUAGUCAUGGCCAUGGAAAUCUCCUGCUGAACAUAGAAUCCCUAUAGCACAGAUAAAGGCCAUUUGGCCCAUUAAGUCUGCAACAACCCUCUUAAGAGAUUCCCACUCUAUCCCUGUAACCCCACAGUUACCAUUACUAAUCCACCAGAUCUAUAUAUCUCUGGACACUACAGGCAUGGCCAAUCCAUCCAAGCUGCACAGUUUUACACUGUGGAAAGAAACCACAGCAUUCGGCAGAGACACAUGCAGACUCAGGGAGAGCAUUCAAACUCAACACAGAUUGUCACCCAAGACUGGAAUCAAACCAGGGUCCCUGGUACUGUGGUGCAGUGCUAACCACAGAGCAACUGUGUGGAAGCACCUAAUAGCAGCUAGGGCAUUGAAUUCAAGUUUGGUGGAAAACAUAAUUGUUCAUUUGUAAGAGUGGAUAAGUAGUGCCAGCAUUAUCCGGAUUCUGAAGAGGUUAACUGCCACUCUGAGCUUGGCAUGAAAAGUGAAAGAGUAAACAGGGAGAGAAAUCCCCUUCACUAAUCUUCCUGUCACAGAAUCUUUUCUCGGCACAGCAUCGUAACCACAAAAACACCUGCUGGAGACCAAGUGCAGUUUUCACGGUGAGAAGGGUUUCCUUCAUUUUGUGUGGCAUCCCCACUGAUUGGGACAGAUAGAGAACUGAUCCAUCAGCUUUAUAGUGGAAAUCCAUGAGGGUCACUGGGCAAUAUUUUGUACAUUGGGGCUUUUCGAGUUUGGUUAACACAAAGAGUUUCUAAAUUUCCAACGUCUGGGUUAUUACUUUGGAACCAUAUGGACCUACCCCUGCUAAUCAGUUGAUUAUUUGAACAUUUUAGAUUAGAUUACUUACAGUGUGGAAACAGGCCCUUCGGCCCAACAAGUCCACACCGACCCGCCGAAGCGCAACCCACCCAUACCCCUACAUUUACCCCUUACCUAACAAUACGGGCAAUUUAGCAUGACCAAUUCACCUGACCCGCACAUCUUUGGACUGUGGGAGGAAACCCACGCAGACACGGGGAGAAUGUGCAAACUCCACACAGUCAAUCGCCUGAGUCGGGAAAUGAACCCGAGUCUCAGGCGCUGUGAGGCAGCAGUGCUAACCACUGUGCCACCGUGCCGCCCACGAACAUGCUAAACAUGAACAGUGGAAUUUAUUUGACUACUGAAAGAUAUCAUUUAAGAAUAAGCAAACACAAAAUGCUAUGAAUGUUACCGAUAAGCAUAUUAAUGUCUAUCUGAAAAGUUACUUGCAUUUGUUUACUUUCUUUCGCAAUAAAUUGCUUAAAACCGACCUUGAUAAUGCCCUUCAAGAUUUGUGCCAUCGAUUCAAAGCAGAUUUGAUGAUCGAUUCACCAGGGCUGUAAUACAGCUGCAAUUUUUCAAGUUUUAUUUAAGGAUGGAUUUAUUUGCUCAACUGUAAUAAAAGAUUGUUUUUCCCUCUCACCUCAAAUCAAUUUG